UAGGGAAUAUUGGACAAUGGGGGCAACCCUGAUCCAGCCAUGCCGCGUGAGUGAAGAAGGCCCUCGGGUUGUAAAGCUCUUUUGUCCGGAAAGAAAAGCUUCGGGUUAAUACCCCGGGGUUCUGACGGUACCGGAAGAAUAAGCACCGGCUAACUUCGUGCCAGCAGCCGCGGUAAUACGAAGGGUGCAAGCGUUGCUCGGAAUUACUGGGCGUAAAGCGUGCAGAGGUGGUUGUUUAAGUCUGAUGUGAAAGCCCUGGGCUCAACCUGGGAAUGGCAUUGGAAACUGGGCAGCUAGAGUGCGGUAGAGGGUAGUGGAAUUCCCGGUGUAGCAGUGAAAUGCGUAGAGAUCGGGAGGAACAUCUGUGGCGAAGGCGACUGCCUGGACCAGCACUGACACUGAGGCACGAAAGCGUGGGGAGCAAACA
rnacentral:rRNA from 1 species